rnacentral:rRNA from 1 species
GACGAACGCUGGCGGCGUGCUUAACGCAUGCAAGUCGAACGGAAAGGCCCUGCUUGCCGGGUACUCGAGUGGCGAACGGGUGAGUAACACGUGGGUGAUCUGCCCUGCACUUCGGGAUAAGCCUGGGAAACUGGGUCUAAUACCGGAUAGGAGCCAUUUUUAGUGUGAUGGUUGGAAAGUUUUUUCGGUGUAGGAUGAGCUCGCGGCCUAUCAGCUUGUUGGUGGGGUAAUGGCCUACCAAGGCGGCGACGGGUAGCCGGCCUGAGAGGGUGGACGGCCACAUUGGGACUGAGAUACGGCCCAGACUCCUACGGGAGGCAGCAGUGGGGAAUAUUGCACAAUGGGCGCAAGCCUGAUGCAGCGACGCCGCGGGGGGGAGGACGGCCUUCGGGUUGUAAACUCCUUUCGCUAGGGACGAAGCUUUUUGUGACGGUACCUAGAUAAGAAGCACCGGCUAACUACGUG